rnacentral:rRNA from 1 species
GAUGAACGCUAGCUACAGGCUUAACACAUGCAAGUCGAGGGGAAACGACAUCGAAAGCUUGCUUUUGAUGGGCGUCGACCGGCGCACGGGUGAGUAACGCGUAUCCAACCUGCCCACCACUUGGGGAUAACCUUGCGAAAGUAAGACUAAUACCCAAUGAUAUCCCACGAAGACAUCUGAAUGGGAUUAAAGAUUUAUCGGUGAUGGAUGGGGAUGCGUCUGAUUAGCUUGUUGGCGGGGUAACGGCCCACCAAGGCAACGAUCAGUAGGGGUUCUGAGAGGAAGGUCCCCCACAUUGGAACUGAGACACGGUCCAAACUCCUACGGGAGGCAGCAGUGAGGAAUAUUGGUCAAUGGGCGAGAGCCUGAACCAGCCAAGUAGCGUGCAGGAAGACGGCCCUAUGGGUUGUAAACUGCUUUUAGAAGGGAAUAAAGUGGGUCACGUGUGACUUUUUGCAUGUACCUUAUGAAUAAGGACCGGCUAAUUCCGUG